AAUCCAUAGGUUAAUGAGGCGAACCGGGGGAACUGAAACAUCUAAGUACCCCGAGGAAAAGAAAUCAACCGAGAUUCCCCCAGUAGCGGCGAGCGAACGGGGAGGAGCCCAGAGCCUGAAUCAGCAUGUGUGUUAGUGGAAGCGUCUGGAAAGGCGCGCGAUACAGGGUGACAGCCCCGUACACAAAAGCGCAUGUGCUGUGAGCUCGAUGAGUAGGGCGGGACACGUGGUAUCCUGUCUGAAUAUGGGGGGACCAUCCUCCAAGGCUAAAUACUCCUGACUGACCGAUAGUGAACCAGUACCGUGAGGGAAAGGCGAAAAGAACCCCGGCGAGGGGAGUGAAAAAGAACCUGAAACCGUGUACGUACAAGCAGUGGGAGCCCCACCACCAAAGCGUUUCGCUUUGUGUGGUGCACAAAGAAGCGUAACGACAGCACUGAAUGACGGUUAACGGAGCGCAAGCGACGUUCAACAUACAAAGUCAAGCAGUGGAGCGCUUUGGGGUGGGGUGACUGCGUACCUUUUGUAUAAUGGGUCAGCGACUUAUAUUCUGUAGCAAGGUUAACCGAAUAGGGGAGCCGGAGGGAAACCGAGUCUUAACCGGGCGUUAAGUUGCAGGGUAUAGACCCGAAACCCGGUGAUCUAGCCAUGGGCAGGUUGAAGGUUGGGUAACACUAACUGGAGGACCGAACCGACUAAUGUUGAAAAAUUAGCGGAUGACCUGUGGCUGGGGGUGAAAGGCCAAUCAAACCGGGAGAUAGCUGGUUCUCCCCGAAAGCUAUUUAGGUAGCGCCUCGUGAAUUCAUCUCCGGGGGUAGAGCACUGUUUCGGCUAGGGGGCCAUCCCGGCUUACCAACCCGAUGCAAACUGCGAAUACCGGAGAAUGUUAUCACGGGAGACACACGGCGGGUGCUAACGUCCGUCGUGAAGAGGGAAACAACCCAGACCGCCAGCUAAGGUCCCAAAGUCAUGGUUAAGUGGGAAACGAUGUGGGAAGGCCCAGACAGCCAGGAUGUUGGCUUAGAAGCAGCCAUCAUUUAAAGAAAGCGUAAUAGCUCACUGGUCGAGUCGGCCUGCGCGGAAGAUGUAACGGGGCUAAACCAUGCACCGAAGCUGCGGCAGCGACGCUUAUGCGUUGUUGGGUAGGGGAGCGUUCUGUAAGCCUGUGAAGGUGGCCUGUGAGGGUUGCUGGAGGUAUCAGAAGUGCGAAUGCUGACAUAAGUAACGAUAAAGCGGGUGAAAAGCCCGCUCGCCGGAAGACCAAGGGUUCCUGUCCAACGUUAAUCGGGGCAGGGUGAGUCGACCCCUAAGGCGAGGCCGAAAGGCGUAGUCGAUGGGAAACGGGUUAAUAUUCCCGUACUUGGUGUUACUGCGAAGGGGGGACGGAGAAGGCUAUGUUGGCCGGGCGACGGUUGUCCCGGUUUAAGCGUGUAGGUGUGUGUUCCAGGUAAAUCCGGUUCACUUUAACACUGAGGCGUGAUGACGAGGCACUACGGUGCUGAAGCAACAAAUGCCCUGCUUCCAGGAAAAGCCUCUAAGCAUCAGGUAACAUCAAAUCGUACCCCAAACCGACACAGGUGGUCAGGUAGAGAAUACCAAGGCGCUUGAGAGAACUCGGGUGAAGGAACUAGGCAAAAUGGUGCCGUAACUUCGGGAGAAGGCACGCUGACACGUAGGUGAAGUGAUUUACUCAUGGAGCUGAAGUCAGUCGAAGAUACCAGCUGGCUGCAACUGUUUAUUAAAAACACAGCACUGUGCAAACACGAAAGUGGACGUAUACGGUGUGACGCCUGCCCGGUGCCGGAAGGUUAAUUGAUGGGGUCAGCGCAAGCGAAGCUCCUGAUCGAAGCCCCGGUAAACGGCGGCCGUAACUAUAACGGUCCUAAGGUAGCGAAAUUCCUUGUCGGGUAAGUUCCGACCUGCACGAAUGGCGUAAUGAUGGCCAGGCUGUCUCCACCCGAGACUCAGUGAAAUUGAACUCGCUGUGAAGAUGCAGUGUACCCGCGGCAAGACGGAAAGACCCCGUGAACCUUUACUAUAGCUUGACACUGAACAUUGAGCCUUGAUGUGUAGGAUAGGUGGGAGGCUUUGAAGCGUGGACGCCAGUCUGCGUGGAGCCGACCUUGAAAUACCACCCUUUAAUGUUUGAUGUUCUAACGUGGACCCGUAAUCCGGGUUGCGGACAGUGUCUGGUGGGUAGUUUGACUGGGGCGGUCUCCUCCUAAAGAGUAACGGAGGAGCACGAAGGUUGGCUAAUCCUGGUCGGACAUCAGGAGGUUAGUGCAAUGGCAUAAGCCAGCUUGACUGCGAGCGUGACGGCGCGAGCAGGUGCGAAAGCAGGUCAUAGUGAUCCGGUGGUUCUGAAUGGAAGGGCCAUCGCUCAACGGAUAAAAGGUACUCCGGGGAUAACAGGCUGAUACCGCCCAAGAGUUCAUAUCGACGGCGGUGUUUGGCACCUCGAUGUCGGCUCAUCACAUCCUGGGGCUGAAGUAGGUCCCAAGGGUAUGGCUGUUCGCCAUUUAAAGUGGUACGCGAGCUGGGUUUAGAACGUCGUGAGACAGUUCGGUCCCUAUCUGCCGUGGGCGCUGGAGAACUGAGGGGGGCUGCUCCUAGUACGAGAGGACCGGAGUGGACGCAUCACUGGUGUUCGGGUUGUCAUGCCAAUGGCACUGCCCGGUAGCUAAAUGCGGAAGAGA
rnacentral:rRNA from 1 species